rnacentral:rRNA from 1 species
UGGGGAAUAUUGGACAAUGGGCGGAAGCCUGAUCCAGCAACGCCGCGUGAGGGAUGACGGCCUUCGGGUUGUAAACCUCUUUCAGUACCGACGAAGCGAAAGUGACGGUAGGUACAGAAGAAGGACCGGCCAACUACGUGCCAGCAGCCGCGGUAAUACGUAGGGUCCGAGCGUUGUCCGGAAUUAUUGGGCGUAAAAGGGCUCGUAGGCGGUUUGUCGCGUCGGGAGUGAAAAACAGCGGGCUUAACUCGUUGCUUGCUUUCGAUACGGGCAAGACUAGAGGUAUGCAGGGGAGAAUGGAAUUCCUGGUGUAGCGGUGAAAUGCGCAGAUAUCAGGAGGAACACCGGUGGCGAAGGCGGUUCUCUGGGCAUUACCUGACGCUGAGGAGCGAAAGUGUGGGGAGCGAACAGGAUUAGAUACCCUGGUA